CAGUUGCCUGGUACAUCCAGAUCCGAUUUGGUGGUUCUCGAAACCUGCCGCCGCCACGGUUGGCUGCCCCAAUUUCCCCGGAGCUGCUGAAGGCUGCGGUUGUUCUGGCGUGCCGGCGAUGGAAGAUGUUGCCCACAUCUAGAUCUGGUUCCUCUCGCUGUGCUCUCGCAGCAGGAUGGCACCAGUGCUGUGCUGGUUGACACGAAUACUGGGUCCGGGUCGGGCAGCAUGUCGGCGGCGGUAGUCGAGGUAGGCCGCAGGGUGACGGCGCCGUCGGCGGCAAGCUUCUCGGACAAGGUCCACGCAGUCUAUGAACCGAGUCAAUCCUAAGGCGCCGGGCUGGACCAAAAGGGGAAGCCAGAAGCCGAGAGCAGCAGGUCAUGCAGAUGCGAGUGCCCUGCUUUGAUAUGGCUCUUUCGGGCUUCUAAUAGUUUGUAUGUAACAGAGCACCAUGUAAACCACAACCAUUCCAUGUCUCACCAUGGGCCAAGGGAAAACAAUGUAAACCUUGGGAAGGUGUACAACAUUAUUGGAAGCGUCUUCAGCUCGGUUGAGAAGGUGUUGUUCACAAAGAGGGCGCUCAUGAACAUAUGGUGUAAGAUAAGCCGAGAGCGAGCUGAUGAUGAUGUUAGAAAGACGUUGGAAGUGUUCGCAGACAUUGUUGCAGGGGACCCAGACUUUACAUAUUCUUGCUGAUAGUGAUAGCAGGGUGAAAACUUUGAUGUGGACAAAUGGGAGCAGCCGAAUGCAAUACCGAUUCUUUGGUCAUGUGGACAUGUGGUUACAUUCGACACGACGUACUUGGCAAAUCUAUAUGACAUUGCUGUUUGGGCUUUUGUGGGAGUGAAUAACCAUUUCCAAAGCAUCAUCCUCACUGGCGUGCUGAUGUGGGAUGAGCAAGUAGAGAGUUUCAAGUGGGUUUUCGGUGAGUUUCUCCAUAUGAUGGGAGGACCGGCACCUAAAACCAUCCUGACAGUAAAGUUUAUCCAAAUAGCAUGCACUGUUAGUGCAAAUGGCACGCACCAAAGAAAGCAAAGGAGAGCCUAGUGCCACUCUACACAAAGAAGUGUGAGUUCCAAGCUGAGUUCUAUAAAGGCGUGAACCACAUGUUGACUACGGAUGAGUUUGAGACAGCGGGGGGUAUGCUGCUUGACAAGUACAACGUGAGGAAGAAUGACCCAGAUAUAUGAAACAAGAUCAAAGUGGGCGAAGCCAUACUUCAAAGGUGUUUUCUGCACCAAAAUGACAAGUACGCAAAGAAGCGAGAGUGCGAACAAGAUGCUGAAGUCCUAUAUGCCCCCAGCGAGCCUGAUGCACGUCUUUGUUAGGCAAUACAUGAGGCUCCAGUUUGACCACGAGAGGGAGGAAAGCUACGAGAAGAAAAAGAGAAUGCUUGGUGGUACUCCAAACUAAUGGGAUACAUAAUUGACUGGCUGAAGAAGGCAAGGAUAAUGGGAACGGGCAGAACCAUCGCACUAACUGAUAUGCUUCGUCUGGGCUGCAGUUUAAUGUGUAGUUGUUGCGCAUUGCAGUUCAUGUUCCGGGUGCUACUCAUAGAUUGCUGGUCCCCGUACAUCUUGACAUAGAGAAGAAGGAAUUUAUGGUGCUCAAUCCAACUGAGACUGAUCCAGCAGAUGAGAUGAACAGGAAGCACAAGGCUUUGGCAAGGAAAUUCCAGCUCAGAUUAUGCCACCGUUUUAAUGACAUGUUUGGUGCUGGCUUGGUCGAGACUAUUGGGUGGACCUUUAUGUACCUCUUAGUGGGGCAGCAUGAACCAUGUACAAGGGAGGAAAGUGACGUCUACAUCCUGGGGUUCACCGGGCUUUAGCUUCGUUCAGCGCUUAGCUCGGAGCAGCUAGAUCACCUUCGGCAGAGAAUUGCAUGCGAGAUUGUGAUCAUGAUGGGAAUAAGGGAGAUCUCCCAGAUUUCCUGUGCGAGGAGAUCAUUGACUGAAGGGAAUGAAUUGUGGUUCAACAUUCAUGCUGGCUGUUCAGAUCUUUGGUCCAUGCGACACGAGUGCUAUGUCCGUGGAAGUGCCCCUCUUAUGUUUCAGGGGCUUUUGGAGCACCCCAACCCUCAGCAGAACCUGAAAUCCAAUGAAACUUAUUUGAAUUUGUACUUUUUUAAGACCUAAGUAGAGUUGGUAGAACCACUUGUGUGGAGUGUUGUGAGAUGCCACAUCAUUUAAGCAUCAGCGCCUAUAUUUGUAAAGCCACUUGAAAUUUCAUGGAAUUUACUUCCAUUAGUUGUUGAAAACCCCAAGCAGAUAACUGUAUUUCUAAAGCUCAAGCAGAGUACUUGGAACUAAA